GGGCUGGUAGCUCAGUUGGUUAGAGCGCACGCUUGAUAAGCGUGAGGUCGGAGGUUCGAGUCCUCCUCGGCCCA
rnacentral:tRNA from 1 species